GUUAUUUUUCUGUAGAGCAGCAUGUUGGCUCAGUCGGCAAGAAUGUUAAGAAGCAGUGGUGUUCAGCUUCAGGAUGAGUAGUAAAAUUGAGAGAGUGGAUAGUAACAUAAGAAUACAGUGUGCUGGCUCUUUUUUGACUCAUUUGCAUAAUUCACUAGACAAUGGCCUCAUCACAAUGAUGUAAUGAUAAUGAAUAUUCAUAGUCAGGAAACUGCAGAAAUGACACCACAGCAAAAGCAACUUCUUGACAGCAUAUAUAUCUUCAGCAUGUAUAUCCAGGUAGCGCCUGGAUUACAAUGCAGUGAGUCUAGCAUGUGUAGCAUCCUACUGGCUGACUGUCCAGAUUUGUACUCAUUUGCAUAAUUCACUGGACCAUGGCCUCAUCACAAUGAUAAUUAAUAUUUAUUGUCAGACACUUAAAACUACAAAAGUCAGGAAACUGCUGAAAUGACACCACAGCAAAAGCAACUUCUUGAUAGCACAUUUCUUCAACGGGAUUGAAGGUAGCACGUGGGUUUCACCAGAGCAAAUUUCGCAUGUGUAACAUCCUAGCGCUUGGAUAGGCUGUCCAGAUGUGGACCAACAUUUUAAAACUCUUUGCUAGUUGACUCAUUUGCAUAAUUCACUGGACCAUGGCCUCAUCAGAAUGAUGUAAUGAUAAUGAAUAUUCAUUGUCAUACACUUAAAACUACAAAAGGAAACUGCUGCAAUGACACCACAGCAAAAGCAGCUUCUAAUAGCAUAUAUCUUCAGCGGCAGCAAAUUUCGCAUGUGUAACAUCCUAGCUCUUGGAUAGGCUGACUGUCCAGAUGUGGACCAACAUUUUAAAAGU
rnacentral:lncRNA from 1 species